AUGGCGGCAGCGCGCUCUGGUUCCUGCGCGACGUCGCCAACGAGCAAGAUGCGGGUGAUGUCCGUGGUGGUCGAGCACUCUGGGACAGUUGAGCUAGCUGGUCUGCGCUCCGGCGAAGCACCUGCAGUGGCUGGAACUGCAAUUGGCAAGCUGGCUGUUUCAAAAGGGAGGCAAGGCAGAGAAGCACAGAACAUUGUUCGGCUUUACUUGGCAAACAUACGUCUCAAGAAUGCAGCAACUGAUGUAGUUAUCACCGCAUACAAGCCGCUCGUGAUAAAUCCUUUGAGUGAAAGUGCCCAGGCAGUUGCAGCUGGACCAGCAGUACCCGCAGAACAAGCAGGAUGCUUGCCAAUGUCGGAGGUCUUCAGACUUGCAGUGAUGAACUUCGAUGUACAUGAUUGGAACCUUUUCAAUGGCAGCGGUUGA
rnacentral:rRNA from 1 species